rnacentral:rRNA from 1 species
GCUCACGGCCAUAUCAGCCUGGGUACGCCCGAUCUCGUCUGAUCUCGGAAGCUAAGCAGGGUCGGGCCUGGUUAGUACUUGGAUGGGAGACCGCCUGGGAAUACCAGGUGCUGUUAGCA